CUCAAAUUUAUAAUCUGGCACCUUCGGUGUCCGAGUUGUAAUCUCUAGAAGUGUUUUCCGCGUUGGACCGCACACAAGUCUGUUGGAAUACAGCGGCAUAGUGGUGAAACCCCCGUAUAUGGUGCGGACGCCCAGCGCUUUGUGAUACACUUUCAAUGAGUCGAGUUGUUUGGGAAUGCAGCUCAAAUUGGGUGGUAAAUUCCAUCUAAAGCUAAAUAUUGGCGAGAGACCGAUAGCGAACAAGUACCGUGAGGGAAAGAUGAAAAGCACUUUGGAAAGAGAGUUAACAGUACGUGAAAUUGUUGGAAGGGAAACGCUUGAAGUCAGACUUGCUUGCCGGAGCUUGCUUCGGUUUGCAGGCCAGCAUCAGUUUUCCGGGGUGGAUAAUGACGGUUUGAAGGUAGCAGUCUCGGCUGUGUUAUAGCUUUCCGUUGGAUACGCCCUGGGGGACUGAGGAACGCAGCGUGCUUUUUGCGAAAGACUCGUCUUUUUCACGCUUAGGAUGCUGGUGGAAUGGCUUUAAACGACCCGUCUUGA
rnacentral:rRNA from 1 species